UACGAAGGGUGCAAGCGUUAAUCGGAAUUACUGGGCGUAAAGCGCGCGUAGGUGGUUCAGCAAGUUGGAAGUGAAAUCCCCGGGCUCAACCUGGGAACUGCUUUCAAAACUGCUGAGCUAGAGUACGGUAGAGGGUGGUGGAAUUUCCUGUGUAGCGGUGAAAUGCGUAGAUAUAGGAAGGAACACCAGUGGCGAAGGCGACCACCUGGACUGAUACUGACACUGAGGUGCGAAAGCGUGGGGAGCAAACAGG
rnacentral:rRNA from 1 species